AGGGGUUUUCGCGAGCACCCCUUCAGGCGCGCGCCCAAGUUUCGC
rnacentral:ncRNA from 1 species